AAGCAGUGCGGCUUCAUUGGGUUGUGUUUUCGGAGGAUGCACGGCUCUCGACCUUCGCCUCUCCUGAGUCCGUACGGGAGUUGCAGCGAUGAGACAAGACUUUAACUACCGAUUGGAUACCACGAAAUUGGGAAGAAAAAGGGACACAACAGGUUGAGAAAUGUUUCCUGCUGCGGAGGGAAGGCCUAUUACCACAGCAGUGACCAGAUGAAGUGCUGUGCAGAGACUCUGUACAACCUGCAGGUUCAGGACAGACUCUCAGAGGAGGCCCAGUGCUGUGGGAGUGUCCUGAUGGAGGCUGGCUCCACGCAGACCUGCUGCUCUGCCCCAGGGCUAGACCUGGUCUACCCUACCCAGCCAGGGUUCACCUGCUGUGGGCACCGCUACCCCAACUCCUCCCUGUGGUCAUGCUGCGCGGGGGUCCUGUACUCAAGGCCUGAAACACAAACCACCAGCAAGAACAUGAUUCCAGGACCCAGGCUUCUACCACUGGGCGAUCUGAAGACUGAAGUCCUGUGUUACACCGAAGUUCUGCUGGGGACAGUGGAGAGUGUGUCCAUGAAGACGAAUGAGCGGUCCAUCGUGAUGGUGAACGCCAUGUACAUGCUGGCCUCGCGUGGCCAUGUCAACCCCCUGCCUUCCCCUCACUACGUCACAUUACCCGACCACUGCAGCUCCCCUGUAGUGGAGCCGGGCAACACUUACAUCUUGAUGAAAAUACCUUUCUCAGACACCAUAAGAUUCAUCUCUGAUCUCAGCGAUCAUUCCUCCCCUGUCCAUUCCAUCCUUUCCAGGUGCUGAACCUUUUUCUUGCCCAGAGUAAAGCCCUACAUAACGUUUGAAAGCUUUACAGUGUUUGUUUACAGUUACAUUGUUAACAAUCAAUGGCGUAAUAAAAAGCUUAUCUUGGGUUCUGAUGGGGUUCGACAGUUGAACUAAGAUCAUAAGGCACAAGUUAUAUUCUUCCAGAGUCAAUUGGUAUAUAUCGUUCAUUUAAAAGUCAAAAAAUUGCUGUUGCUAUCACAGAUUGCCUCUUUAAGCUAUCAGUAGACAUUUAAACCAUGUUUGUGAAGUGAUUGUAUCACAUUGUGCAAGGACAGGAUAAAAAGCCUAUUUUAACCAAGCAUUUGUGUGUAGGUGUAUGACUUCACCAUUCAUCAAUUCAUGUGGUUGUGUGGGGGUUUGUGGUUUUGUGGUUGCCUUUAUCCCAUCCACAUAUAUGUACCACAUUAUCUGACACUUGAUCACAGGAUCACAUUUUUGUUUUAUUAUUUCACUGCCAAUCUGUGUUUGAUCUUGUCUAGCCAUCUUGUAUCAAGAGGACCACAAAAGUCCUAGACUUUAUUGUGUGUUAUCCUCCAUGAUUAUAUUCAUGUGCAUCUAUGACUUUUAAGUUUUAUGUGUGCUUGUUUUUUUAAAUGGUCGAAUUAAUAAACUAAACUAAAUAAAGGGCACCUAGGGCACUGAGUCUUUGGCUGCGUUUAUGAGCAAAGUGAAAUUAUGAAUAAAAUAUUGUAAAACUGAUAUAUACUGAACAGAAAUAUAAACACAACAUGUAAAGUGUUGGUCCCAUGCCUUAUGAGCUGAAAUAAAAAAUCCCAGAAAUGUUUCCAUAUGCACAAAAAGCUUAUUUCUCUCUAAUGUUGUGCACAACUUUUGUUUACAUCUCCUGUUAAUAAUCACUUCUCAUUUGCCAAGAUAAUCCAUCCACCUGACAAGUGUGGCACAUCAAGAAG
rnacentral:lncRNA from 1 species